AGCAGCCAAUGGGAGGCGACCGUACAACCUUCGGGCCAAUGGGGCCUCCGCUCUUAUCGCGAAGUCCCUUCCUUCAACGCCCUGUUUCCUCUCUCGGGUUUCCUCCCUCCCCCGCCAAGGAGGGGGAAGGUGGAAAAGGGGAGUGUGGUGGGGCGGGUGAUAAUGGGGAGGUAUCGGGGCAUAUAAUAGAGGAGGGGGUGGGCCAAGAGAGCGCUAGUGCGUAGAGACGAUUCUAGGAGAAGAGGUGCUCGGAGGAAAGGGUGGGGGCUGCUGAUGUAAUGGGGAGAAGUGAUUAAUCCUUCGGUUCGCCGUUUGAGCCUCCCCCCCACACCCGAUUUUUUAAGCAGAAAAAAAAAAAGUGGAGCGAGGGAGCCGAUCUUUGGUAAUUUGGUUUUCUGUGGUAGGUAGGUUCAAAGUCUGAGCUGUAGGGAGCGCUAGAGAUUCUGUGCCCUUUAGCCAAGCUGAGGGUAUGUGCAAACCUUGGAGAUCCACUUUACGGAGCUUUGAGCUUGAUAACUGAAGUUUGGAGUCGGUUCCUAACCGUCGUCUAAAAGGAGUCAUCUAAGUCUUGAAAAGGUUUUUUGGUCAGUAGGCGAUAGACCUUUGGUCGGUUUACUUUUUGGAGACGUAGUCUAUGUAAAAUGUUCCGGGAAAUAAUAGGUGAGAAAAGGAGAGAAGUAAAUGCGUUGAGGUUGUGAUUGUGAUUUAAAAGUAAUUUUUUUUUAGAUCCCACAAACUCAAAGGAAGAGAAAAAACCCCAGGAGGAAUUGUCGUUUGUAUCUGUAUCUGGUUCCCUCAUCAUAAUCUCUCCCCAAGGAAAACGCGUUUUUAUUCCCUAGCUGCUGUUGUGAUGACUGAAAAAGUACCCUUUCUCAAUUCCUCCCGUUCUUUUGUUUAUCUUUUUGUGGACGUGGUAAAACUGGCAGUUUACCUGAUUCCUGGUUUUCAGACCUUUGGGUGAUUUCUCUCUCGCUUGAGUUGAUCAGUUGCUGUCUUAGGUUUGAUGUAGAUAAUUAAACCGUUACAGAAUAUGAUUUAAAUAAAAUCAAAGCUGAGAGGGAGAAAAGUGUGUCUUUUGAGAGGAAGGAGAGGGGCAAGGAGAGCCAGUAUUGUGUAGGGUGUUUGAGUCCCUGAUUUGAUAUGUGACUCUAGGCAAAAUACUUUACCUUUCCAGAUAUCAGGGUCCCCCCACCGUUUAAUAAGAACUUAUUUUGCACUACAUAGUCCUGUCUUCAAUUUUUUAAAAUUCUAUAAUUUUGAGAUGAUCUCUCUUUCGUCCUGAAAAUGGAGAAACUUACAUCUAAGUUUCCUUCUCAAAAAAAUAUUUGAGGAGGAGGGCUGUUAGAAAAUAACUAAAGAACUGCACAUUUUUAUGGAUGUUAGCUAGGUGCAAAUGGGUAGAAGUUUAGAUGUGGUUCAAAUAAAUGUAGGGGGAAAAAGGAAAAUUACAUGCUGUUAUACUUAUUAUAAGUGGAUCCUUAAUUCUGAUUUUUCUAAAAAUUUACUUUUUUAUUCAGCAAGCACUUAUUGGUUCCUCCUGUGUUUGCGUUACUAUGUAAGCUGCUGUGGGAAAUACCAAAAAAAUAAAAGUUAAAGUCUUGGGCCUAAAAAAUUUGCAUUUUGGUAUGGCAGAAUUGAAGAUUUAAGUCAGAUGUACAAAGAAAACAUAGCUUGUUUAUUUUCUGUAAUUUUUAGCCUCCUUGAGUCUCCACAUUAUCUCUUUUCUUUUUUACCAUGCUGAGUCAGAUUUUAUUUCUCUACCUCUCUCUCAUUCCAAGUUAUGUAUGGGGGUCGAGGGUUGCUGUUUAAGGCAUAGAUGGGAUGUCUUUCACAUCUUUGGCAUCCUGGGUUUCUGGGUUUAUUACAAGAGUUCUCUGGCGUGUAGCAGUAAGAUGCCUUGUUCUAACAAAACCAAUAUAUUAUGACAAUUUUCUGAUAGAUGGAAGUAACGUAUCUUGAGAAAGGGAGUGCCUUUUUCUAAUUCACACAGUGACAGGUAGGCUGGUAGCAGCCCUGAGGGAUGAGAGGCUUACAUGGCAUCAGGGAAGGGCCCUGAGCCAUGCGUGCCCGGCCUUGUGUUGUCCUCUGGUAUGGAGUGGCUGGUAUGGGUUGAAAGCAGGACUGCUAGCCUCAGUGGUAAAACUGGUCAUUUCUGUCCUUUUGAGAUGUCAUGCUGGUUCCUCUGUAGUUCCUUUGCAGAAGUCCAUACCUGAGCCAUUUGCCCUAUACACUGCAACCUUUGUACUGACCCCGGGUCCCUGCAGGUCCAUUGAUUCUCACAGUGCCGCUCUCUCUUCUCACUGAGAUGUGUGGGAACUUCUAGGUUCCCCGAAUACCACAUGUAGGCCGUGCAGAGCCAGGAGCCUUGCUUUGCGCUCAUUUAUUGAGCCACUUCCCUCCAUCAAUGUUGCGUUAUUCUCCCCAUGUCAUACUGAACAUGCUGUCAAGCUGAAAGCAGAAUUCCUAGAGGGCUCAGCCUUUCACAGGAUGCCCAGAGAAGCAUACUAUCCCCAAUUUUCUUGGAUUUCCCCAUAUCUAUAUGAAUACUUCAACUCUGUACCUCCAGUUCUAGUUGCCACCAUGAGAAGGGACGGAAGGUGAGCAUACUGAGUCUGAUUACCUCUUCCUUGUCCCCUUUUCUUCUUUCCAUCAUCUCUCAGGGCUACAAGAGAUGGAUUUUUCUCCUUCUUGUAUAUCAGGAGCUUUCCUUAUGUACUAUAUCCUCUUCAUUCUUGUGAUGGCAUAUGCUCUGCUCCCUGUUGUGGAGCCAUGAUGGUGAAUGGAGUGCAAGAGAGAAACUAGUUUAACAAUAAUGGAAUAUCUAUUGGGAAAUAUUGAAAAAUAUUAUCAUAUCUCCAUAUCACUGGCUCCUACAUAUUUUUAGUUUAUGUUUUGAGAUUAAAUGUUAGAGACUUCUUUGUGCAAAGGUGUUCAAACCCAUCUUAAAAUUGUGGAGCUUGGGAUUUGUUAGAAUCAGCCUUAGAGAUCAUUUAAUUCUCAUUUCUAUACUUGACUGGGAAACUAAAGUUCAAAGAGGUGAGGUGACAAAACCACGUCCCCUAACUACUUAGUAGCAAAGUUACUGCCUGCCAGUCCAGUGCCCCUUCCAUUCACAGGUAUUACAGACUCUUAAUUCUCCCGGUGAAAACCCAAAAUAUUACAUCUGGUUUUAUGCAUUGCCAGGUCCACCUGUGUUAGCAAAUAAUCCCGUCAAUUAGCUGUCAUAGAAAUUAUGUGUGAGAGAAAACAGGAGAAAAAUUUAAAGGGGAUUGUUAUUUUGGGGUAGGGGUCUCCCAGAAUACUUUCAGUAUACGCUUCACAUAAUUCCAGAGGACUAAAUUCCCUCAGGGUUUGCUCUUUCUUCAAGAACAUUUGUGUUUGUUUUUUUCUCAACUAAUUACUGGUGCUUAACAGGUUAGUGUACUUAAAAUUAUUUGUUUAUAAAGGCUAUCACAAUAGAAGUGUGGAAAAAAUAAGCCCUUUAAUCAUUUUAAUACCUGGCAGGUGAUAUUUACUGUGAUUUUUUAAAUGAUAAUUUUUACCAUUUCAAAGAUUCAGUUUCCCUUUUCUCUGUCAUUCCAUCAUCUAGUCCUAAGCCAUCAGCACUCAGUCAGUUACAUAAGGCACCUCAAAGCUGCUCACUCUUUUUAUGUCGUUUAGGAAAUUAGUUUGAUCUGAAUAUGGUUUUCCUGAAGGAAUAACCAGUUCUGUUUAAAAUAUCCUUGUUAGAGUAUGAAUGACUUAUCUCACUAAGCUGCAAAAAUUCAUUCUUUAGUACAUGCGCAGAUAAUAUUUUAUCAGUUAGGCCUUGAAAAUUAACUUGCAACUAAGGAUUUAAAUUUAAUGUAUAUGUGGGAAAACCUGGUAAGCACGCAAUCCAAUGAUACUCACAAUAGAGGUUAUCUUUAAAGAAUUAUGGAAACGAACUUUAAUACCUUUCCCUGUGGAAUAAUAGAGGAAUAGCAGUGUUAAAAGAAAUUAAUUAUGUUCAAGAUUUAGGAUGGGCUAUGAUAGACAGUUGUAACUCUUUAUUUUUGCUGUUUAAAAGCAGAAUUCAAUUUCCAAGCAUUGAGAGAAGACUAGGCCAAAAAAUAAAGGUGUAUUAUAUUAUGGAAGGACUGGUAGGUGACUGAAGUGUGGCCAAAAGUGAGAAUGGAAAACCAAGAGGGAGCUCAGCCACUUACUGGCUGUCUGACCUUCCACAAAUUACUUACCCUCUCUGUGCUUGAGUUUCUGCAUCUGUAAAAUGGGGGCGAUAAUAGAUCCUCAUUUCUCAGGAUUGUUGUGAGGAUUAAGCAAAUUAAUACCUUAAAUGCUUUAAACAGUGUUUGCUGCAUAUAGGGGCUCAGUAAAGUGUUAGCCAUUAUUUUUAUUGCUGCUGGUGUCGGUGUUAUUUCAUGCCUUACUUGAUGAUUUUCAAAAUUACACAGACUAUGUAUGUAGGGAAGCAGGUAUGGUUCUUGUUGUAAGGGAAUAUGCCUAGAAAAUAAAUGGUAUUAGAAAGGUACAGGGAACACGGCACCAGAGGAAGGAGUUGGGCACAACAACAAUAGGUAGAGAUCAGACAUAGGUUGAAACUGAUGGGGGAAGACCUCUUGUGCAGAAUUUCUCUACUUAAGUGAUAUUUGAACCGAAGAUCUUGUGGCAGAUGGAGAAUAUUCUGACAUAGUUUCACUAUGGGAGCCUCUCAAGAGAGAGUCUAAGGAGAAGGUCAGGAAACAAACACAUAGGCCUAGAAAGAAAAAAUAAGAAAGAAAGAAGACAGCAGUUGGAGGUUUAUCUGUGUUUGUGGAAGAAUUGGAUGCAUUUAAGUAGCAGGUUAAAAUUUAAAAACUCACUUGGGCCUCCUUGAAAGGAGUAGGAAUGAUAGAAAUGGAAGAGGAGCAGAGAAAUUAAGGGCAGAAAGUAAUACAGGAAGUAGCACAAGUUACUCAAGGACUGGAGAAUCUGAAAGCUAAAGGAAGUGGGACUUUAGUGGAGGACAUAUUAGACCCCUCUAUGGUCUUGAGAUUAUGGCCUUUGGAAGAAUCAACAGAAGGUUCAGAUUCAGGAAUCUGUUGAAAGUGAUAACCCAGCUAAGAUAGAUUUAAGAAAAGAGGAUCUUGGAAGCAAGGUUAAUAGACUUAAGGAGCUCUAGAGCAGGAAACAGUGGCAGCAGCUGUGUCAUAAAGUUUAAAAAGUCUUGGGAUCCUGUUGGAGAUGGACAAAUACCCAGGGAAGAUCAGCUGCAAGGCUCUCAGCAUGGACUGUAGGGUUGCCUGGUGUAAAUGUGGAAUGCUGUGUUCGCACACGGAAGAGGAACCUAUGUCACUCGACAGAGGCCAAGCUUAAUUUAACACUGGACUUCCAGGCCAGAAACACUCCAAAGGAAAAUGGAAAUAAAAGUGUUCAAAACGUGAGAAGGGUACCAAGAGAAAGAAGGAAGAUUUGGAUGUAAUCUAGGCAUUGGAGAUGCUACCACUGAAAACCUCCUUGUGUCUCUUUGUACCUAAUUGGGCCCUAUGCAUAUUCUUGAAUUAAUCUCUGGCAAGGGUGAGGGGAUUACUCUUAGAAUCCUCUGAAAAGGACUGAAAAGAUCAGAAAACUAGAGAGAAGAGUAAUUGGACUUUAAGGUCUUUGGAGUUCAAAAAGUUUACAGUAGGAAGAGGGACCCAUUUUGGACUUGAAUUUCUCUGGUAAUUUAAUAAUGGGAAGGGCUUCACAUUGUUCCAUUUUCAGCCAUUCUUUGUUGUUUCAUUUUGACUUUUAAAAGUAAUUUUGUUGACCAAUUUUGGACAAUAUGACUAGGCAUGAUUUCAGAUGGGAAAUAAACUAGGAAGUGAAUAUUUGGCCUAGGGUGCAAUGUGGCCAUGAAGUUAAAUUGACUAAUAACCUGUUACAACCCAUUGCAGAAACUCUUAGGAGGACCAGCUCAACUCUCAGGGGUCCCAGGGAUUUACGGUGAGGAGCGGUGGUAAUAACUGAGGGAGCUGCUAAUCUCUCGCAAUUGGACAAUCCUGGAUGAACAAAGUUCCCAACUCUGUGGGUCUGGCAGGCCAACUCUGUCCUGGCACCUGGUCAGUGUCCUACCUUUGAUGACUGGAUUCUGAUCACUUUAUGUUCCUUGCCUCGUUUCCUGUUUGCUGGACCUGCUCCUCCCAAGGUUCUAAUCUAUGUCGUGGACCUGGGCUGGUAAUUUGACCAAGAUUUCCUGUUUCCUUGCUUGGUAAAUCACCAAUCAUAUUGUUAUAAUCCACAUAAUUUGUGUUCUGUUGACACUAAUGACAAGAUAUACAACGUUUCUUGAAUCAACGUACUUAUUAGUUUUUUAUCUUUUUAUUACGGAAAAUUUCAAACAUUUACAAACAUAGAGGAUAAAAAACUCCAUGUACCUAUCAUCCAGCUUCAACAAUUGUUAACCCUUGGUUGAGCUUGCUUCAUCUAUACUCCCCAACUCUCUAAACCCAAUUAUUUUGAUGCAAAUCCUAGAUAUCAUUCUAUCCGUGAAUAUAUCAAUAUGCAUCUCUAGAAAAAAGGAUUUCCUAAAAAAUUAACCUUAGUACUAUUGUCACAUGAAAAAAUAAUUCCUUAAUAUCAGAUGUUUUAAAAAUUUGUUUCAAUAAAAUUGGAAAAGUUUUAUUCAGCUGAGGCAGUAGCAACCAGAAUUGUUAGCAAAAUUUCUCAACAUUUAUAUUUGGAAAUGAACCAUGAAUUUUACAUAUUAAUUUCAAACAUUUUAAUGGGAUUGCAAUAAUGAUCAUUACCACAGAAAAUAAUACAAAAUUUUAAUUUUAUCGAAUAAAUUCUACAAUUUGCAUUGUGAUUGUUUCCCCACCAGCCUUUAAGCAAUAUCUAUAUCCAUACAGUGUUAAGUUCUUUCAAUAUUUUCAAUGCUUAGAUAUCAUAAAGAAAAACAACAAGAAAAAUAUGUGGUUCAAUUUUUUCAAAUUUCCCAUCAUAGGAGACCAUACCUCUAUCUAGAAUGCACAGA